GAAUUUAAAUAAUCAAAACUUAAUAAACUUGCAACUGAAUAUUUAACUCCUCCUGGUAGAAAUUUAUAUAUUUGAAAUUUGAAAAUACGAUUCGGUAGAUUCUAGAAAAUGGAACUUUUGCGAAAUUGAAGUUGUGCAAUAAUUUAUAUUGGAUGUUCUGUUUGGCUGGUGUUAUGAAUAAAAGCUAGAAUGUGUAUUGAACUUAAGAAUUAUAAAUAUUUCAAAGUUAUUGUUGCUGCUUGGCUUGUCGGCAUCUUCAGCACAUUAUACUGUCUAUUCAAGAUAUGUUAUUAUACUUGUAUGAUGGCACUGAAGGAAGAUUCAUAUGAGAAAGCAGACUACACUCUCAAGCAACUGCUUGGUAUUCGUCUUGCAGUAUUAAUCUUAUAUGUAUUAUUGUUUUUGGCAAGCUUAAUGCUGUUGUAUGGACUGAAAACUGUAAGUAAAGAAAUACUUAUAAA